AAAGUCUGACGGAGCAACGCCGCGUGAACGAAGAAGGUUUUCGGAUCGUAAAGUUCUGUUGUUAGGGAAGAACCGCCGGGAUAACCUCCCGGUCUGACGGUACCUAACGAGAAAGCCCCGGCUAACUACGUGCCAGCAGCCGCGGUAAUACGUAGGGGGCAAGCGUUGUCCGGAAUUAUUGGGCGUAAAGCGCGCGCAGGCGGCUUCUUAAGUCAGGUGUGAAAGCCCACGGCUCAACCGUGGAGGGCCACUUGAAACUGGGAGGCUUGAGUGCAGGAGAGGAGAGCGGAAUUCCACGUGUAGCGGUGAAAUGCGUAGAGAUGUGGAGGAACACCUGUGGCGAAGGCGGCUCUCUGGCCUGUAACUGACGCUGAGGCGCGAAAGCGUGGGGAGCGAACAGGAUUAGAUACCCUGGUAGUCCACGCCGUAA
rnacentral:rRNA from 1 species